GACUCAUAACUCUCUGAUUGGUUACUUUCAAUCCACCAAUCAGAGUGUUGAUUCGAGUCAAAUUACACAGCGUGGGAAAAUUCUCACACUGUGUAAAAUGACACUUUGAUUGGGUGGAUUUCAAGCCAACCAAUCAGAGUGCUGUGACAGGUAAAUGUAGAGACUUACCUGUCAGUCCCUUCAUUUACCUAUCAGAGCACUCUAAUUCGAUGGCUUAAACCAACCAACCAGAGUGCUCUGGUUUAUAAGCCUUACUCCACCCUGCAGAGCUUAGUCUGCACGGAGCCAUCCAUAGGUGAAGAUGGAUUUUUUUUUUUCGCUCUGGUGUUUUU